UACGUAGGGAGCGAGCGUUGUCCGGAAUUACUGGGUGUAAAGGGAGCGUAGGCGGGCGAGAAAGUUGAAUGUUAAAUCUACCGGCUUAACUGGUAGCUGCGUUCAAAACCUCUUGUCUUGAGUGAAGUAGAGGCAGGCGGAAUUCCUAGUGUAGCGGUGAAAUGCGUAGAUAUUAGGAGGAACACCAGUGGCGAAGGCGGCCUGCUGGGCUUUAACUGACGCUGAGGCUCGAAAGCGUGGGGAGCAAACAGG
rnacentral:rRNA from 1 species